rnacentral:rRNA from 1 species
GACGAACGCUGGCGGCGUGCUUAACACAUGCAAGUCGAGCGGUAAGGCCCUUUCGGGGGUACGACGAGCGGCGAACGGGUGAGUAACACGUGGGUGACCUCGCCCUCAGCUCUGGGAUAAGCCUGGGAAACUGGGUCUAAUACUGGAUAUGACUCCACGGUGCAUGUCGUGGGGUGGAAAGCCUUGUGCGGCUGAGGAUGGGCCCGCGGCCUAUCAGCUUGUUGGU